rnacentral:rRNA from 1 species
AUGAGUCGGCCUGAUGGGAUCAACAUCCCCGACGGCAGGUUCUACCUUGGAGAUGCUGGCUAUGCAUGUCGGCCGGGUAUUCUUCCACCCUUCAGGAAAACCAGGUACCAUCUCAACGAGUUCUCUGGUAGGAACUUUCCUAGGACUGCACAUGAGCUGUUUAAUCUCAGACACUCCAGCCUUAGAGUAACUGUUGAGAGGGCAUUUGUAGCUCUGAAGAAUAGGUUUAAGAUCCUGGAUCAGAAGCCAUUCCACCCAUACUCCACUCAGGUUAAGCUAGUUCUUGCUUGUUGCAUUCUGCAUAACUGGAUCCUCCAGUGGGGCUUUGAUGAACAUGUGCCUGAGGAAGAGGUCGAGCCUGACGAUGUUGUUAGCUCUGGCCAUGGUGUGGAGGCAUUUGACAAUGAAGCUUGGAAGAACAAAAGGUUGGAGUGGGCAGAGGUGAUGUGGCUUAACAGAGGUCAGUGCAGGAUUUGA